rnacentral:rRNA from 1 species
CCUACGGGAGGCAGCAGUGGGGAAUAUUGCACAAUGGGGGGAACCCUGAUGCAGCGACGCCGCGUGAGUGAAGAAGUAUUUCGGUAUGUAAAGCUCUAUCAGCAGGGAAGAAAAUGACGGUACCUGACUAAGAAGCCCCGGCUAACUACGUGCCAGCAGCCGCGGUAAUACGUAGGGGGCAAGCGUUAUCCGGAUUUACUGGGUGUAAAGGGAGCGUAGACGGCAGCGCAAGUCUGAAGUGAAAUCCCAUGGCAUAACCCAGGAACUGCUUUGGAAACUGUGGAGCUGGAGUGCAGGAGAGGUAAGCGGAAUUCCUAGUGUAGCGGUGAAAUGCGUAGAUAUUAGGAGGAACACCAGUGGCGAAGGCGGCUUACUGGACUGUAACUGACGUUGAGGCUCGAAAGCGUGGGGAGCAAACAGGAUUAGAUACCCGAGUAGUC